AAAUUGAAGAGUUUGAUCAUGGCUCAGAUUGAACGCUGGCGGCAGGCCUAACACAUGCAAGUCGAACGGUAACAGGAAACAGCUUGCUGUUUCGCUGACGAGUGGCGGACGGGUGAGUAAUGUCUGGGAAACUGCCUGAUGGAGGGGGAUAACUACUGGAAACGGUAGCUAAUACCGCAUAACGUCGCAAGACCAAAGAGGGGGACCUUCGGGCCUCUUGCCAUCGGAUGUGCCCAGAUGGGAUUAGCUAGUAGGUGGGGUAACGGCUCACCUAGGCGACGAUCCCUAGCUG
rnacentral:rRNA from 2 species